UGUCUCUUCUUUGCAUUCCAUUCCUGGGCUACAAAACGACUACCGCUCAAAGAAGCCGGAAAAAAUAAGAGACGAGAAGGAGGAGACAGAGAGAGAGAGAGAAAGAGGAGGGGCUGACAUCAACUGACACCAGUGACGGCAACCCAGUCCAAAUCAAGGC